CUGGCUGAAGUCGGACGCUUAACCAACUGCGCCACCCAGGCGCCCCAAUCUGGCCUGUACUCUUAACGAAAUGCACGACUGUUGUGAAAACCAAAGACUGCGGAGCUAGUCCAGACUAAAGAAGACUAAGGGGAUAGGACAGCCGAAUGAAAUGUAUAAGCUUUUGGCUAAAAGGCUCUUACUGACAAAAUUGUUGAAAUCUGAAUAAGGCCUGUCGAUUAGGUAACAGUAUUAAAUCAAUGUUAAUUUCCUGAUUUUGAUCAGUGCACUGGGGUAUAUAGGAGAAUGCCCUUGUCCUUAGGAAAUACACGAAGUAUUAAGGAGGAAGGGUAUGAUAUCUGUAAUUUAUUAAAAUGAUUCAGCAAAAACGCGUGCGUGCAUGUGCGUGUGCGUGUGUGUGUGUGUGUGUGUGUGUGUGUAGGGAAAUGGAAGAAUAAAGCAAAUCUGGUAAAUGUUAACUUUUGGGCACAGUGAGAGGAGGGUAUUUGAAAAUUCUUUGCACUUUUCUUACAACUUCUCAGUAAACCUGAUGUAAUGUCAAAAUGAAAAAAGAAAAAAAGUGGGAAAUUAAAAAAAAAAGCACCAAUCUACUGUUAAUUGUUGUUCUGUCUGUCCCUGGGCUAGGACCUAGCAGGUGUGGGAAAUCACUGAUAAUGAUAUUCCCUACAAAGCAGCACGGGGGAAAGGUUGUAGAAAGGAGCUCACCAAAAGCCCCCCGAUUUCUCUGGACGUAGCUGUGAUCCUGAGUGCAUCCUGAAGACCUUUACUCAAUAGCCAGUCCCAGCCUCUGAAGGCAAAGAAGGUCUGGUUCCUGUCCUCAGCUGCCCCGCCUUGGAGAGGGACUUACAGCCUGGUGCUUGGGGGGUCCAUCAGCUGUCUGCCUCCCCUUCUAAUCCCAGGCGCCUCUCAGGCAACACCUAACUCAGGGCGGCGUCCAGCUCACACGGAGCCCUACACACUUGACAUUCAAACAAAGGGAUGACUGGUGAGUGACAGCUGUGAGUGAAUAAGAGGGGACUAUGGGAUUUUACCAGUCGUUCCAUUCGGGGGCCUGCCUCUUCCCGUGAUCGCACCACCCAGUGGUCCAGAACAAAAAGCCAAGCGCAGGAGCUGAGAGAGGGGAAGGACUGCGUUCCUCCCUCCGGGCUCGGGAAACAGCACCCACCACCCUUUGUGCAGUUCCCAGGGUCAAGGGCGUUCUGCUGCAAGGGUUCUAGUCAAGGAGCUUUAGAGGCAGCCGGGAAGUGGUCUGAGUUUACAGAAGUUGGAAUACUUGGAAGACAGACACCAUAAAAUCAAACACUCGAAUCCAGCUGCGUGUUCGGAGAAGAGCUGCGAUUUCGUGUCAUGUGGUCAGCAGGUGAAGCUGACAGCCAUUUAGUGAGUCGUUUCUGGUACCGAGGAAUGAGUGAAAAUAGUUGCCAGGUGCUGAAGAAAAUUACCAGGCGCUUUAUACAAGAAAUAAGAGAUGGUCUGCCCAGCUUCAGCGCCGGCGCUGGAUUCGUAACUGGAAAGGGACAAGAAGAGACAUUCUUAGACUGCUCAAUCCACUUCCUCAGCAGAACCACUGCCUCCUUCCUGGACAGCCUUUGAAAACUCUCGAUGUCGUCAUUAAUCUGCUGUCCUUAAGACACAUGUUUUAUGAAUGGUCACAGUCAUCACAUAGUGUCUCCACUGAUAUGACUCUCCAUUGAAUCCAUGGUGUAUCAGGCACUGUACCAGGUUCUGGGGAAAUAAUGGCAUUCCAGGUGCUCCCCGGAAGAACUUAUAGUCUUGGAUGUGUGUGUGGUGGGGGGGGAGGGGGGAGUAUACGUGUGGGGUGGGGUGGGAUGUAUGCAAACAUUCGGGAAGGUUCACCACACCGCACCAGCAUUUCAGCAUCGUGGUUAAAGGAGUAAUCUAGGGUCAGAGCUGCGGGUUUCCAUCUACCUCUGCCACUUACUAGUUUUGUGACCUCCGGGCAGAUUUCUUAGCAUCUACGAGCUUCAGUUGUCUAAUCUGUGAAAUGGGAACGAUAGCUGUUUCUGCUUGUGAAGAUUGUUCUGAAAAUGGAAUGAGCUAGGAGUCUGUAAGGCAUUUACUAUGGUGUCUGGGGGACUACCAGUAGUCAUUGACACUCAGAAUAAGUAGAUCGCAUUUGGGUGUUCUCUACUCAUCAAGUACUGUUUUUGGGAACUUUCGUGUUUAACUUUACAGCAACCCUUUAAGGUGCGAACUGCUGUUUUACAGAUAAGUAAAUGGAUCUAAGUUAGAAAAUGGUACGAUGUAGCUGUUAAUGCUGUUGUUCUAGUUUUCCCUAAUAUUAAUAUUUCCUGGCAUCUGUCUUGGUGGGUCCUGUUGAUUUCUGAGUCCACUGGAUUACACAACAAGCAGCAGUUUGGGAUCCCGUAACUUUUUGCAAGAGGGAACUGGAUCCUCUUGAUCUGGGCUCUGACAGAAUUUGGUAGGUGUGCUUGCUUGCCACCAGAUGGCAGUAUACGUCGGUCAUUUAAUUUAAAUUAGAGGAAGGGACUUGGUGUGGGAAAGCCCUCUGAAACGAAAAUUAGGGCACAAAUAGUGUAGGUGCUUUGCCAUGUGGCAAAGUUAGGGAGUAGGUGAUGUGGUAAAUAUUUCAGAUAGUGACGGUCACCUUUAAGUCUUGGUGGUCAUGGCACCACCAUACACACCAGGGCCUCUUCUAGCUCUGGCGGGACAUGAGGUUUGUGCUGUCAUCUGGGUAGAUCAUGGUGGAGUCAAAAGGCUCCCACAGUUCUACAGAGAGCAUUGUUGACACAAUGACUGCCCGUCGGAACCCCAGAUCGGAGAGUCGGCCUCGCUCCCUUCUAGUAUGCUCAGACAGUGAUUCUGUGGACGUGGCUGCGGAGGAAGACGCAUGUGAAGUGUGCAGUUACCCUUCCUCCCCGGGGUUACAUAUGAUGCUGCUGGGCCUGUCCAUUUGGCUGCUCCUCCUGGCUAUCUUUGUGCUCUACCUAGACCCCAUGGCCGCCCAUGUGUGAGCUGGCCGUGGGGACCCAUCUUCUGGGAACAUGAACAGCACGUUUUGGAGAAUCUUUAGACAACAGAAAUAUAGUUUCUUUGGGAAGAUCUUUAAAAUCUGAAAUGAAGACGAUGUAUUUUUACUUAA